CCUACGGGUGGCAGCAGUGAGGAAUAUUGGUCAAUGGGCGCGAGCCUGAACCAGCCAAGUCGCGUGAAGGAUGACUGCUCUACGGGUUGUACACUUCUUUUAUAAAGGAAUAAAGUGAGGCACGUGUGCCUUUUUGUAUGUACUUUAUGAAUACGGAUCGUCUAACUCCGUGCCAGCAGCCGCGGUACUACGGAGGAUCCGCGCGUUCUCCGGAUUUAUUGGGUUUAAAGGGAGCGUAGAUGGGUUGUUAAGUCAGUUGUGAAAGUUUGCGGCUCAACCGUAAAAUUGCACUUGAUACUGGCAGUCUUGAGUACAGUUGAGGUAGGCGGAAUUCGGGGUGUAGCGGUGAAAUGCUUAGAUAUCACGAAGAACUCCGAUGGCGAAGGCAGCUUACUAAACUGCCACUGACAUUGAUGCUCGAAAGUGUGGGUAUCAAACAGGAUUAGAUACCCUUGUAGUC
rnacentral:rRNA from 1 species